rnacentral:tRNA from 1 species
GCUUUAGAAGCUUUAAAGAAGCAUUGGUCUUGUAAACCAAAGAAUGGUGAUACCCUAAGGCU